rnacentral:rRNA from 1 species
UAGGGAAUCUUCGGCAAUGGACGAAAGUCUGACCGAGCAACGCCGCGUGAGUGAAGAAGGUUUUCGGAUCGUAAAACUCUGUUGUUAGAGAAGAACAAGGACGUUAGUAACUGAACGUCCCCUGACGGUAUCUAACCAGAAAGCCACGGCUAACUACGUGCUAGCAGCCGCGGUAAUACGUAGGUGGCAAGCGUUGUCCGGAUUUAUUGGGCGUAAAGCGAGCGCAGGCGGUUUCUUAAGUCUGAUGUGAAAGCCCCCGGCUCAACCGGGGAGGGUCAUUGGAAACUGGGGGACUUGAGUGCAGAAGAGGAGAGAGGAAUUCCAUGUGUAGCGGUGAAAUGCGUAGAUAUAUAGAGGAACACCAGUAGCGAAAGCGGAUCUCUGGUCUGUAACUGACGCUGGGGCUCGAAAGCGUGGGGAGCAAACAGG